UGGCGAGGUUUAGUUCCUCAAACAAGAGGGAUCUUAGGAUCAGUUGGGGAUGGGCUGUCUGGACAGUCCAAAGCAGAUAGUUUCAGUUUCUUAAAAGUGGAGGUGUCCAUGCGGUCGGUGAAUGGUAGAAGUGUGCGAGUUGGGGGGGUGGGGGGGUGAAGUCAUUGCUGUGUUGAUUAAGGGUGCAGUCAUUGUAUAUGCAUAAGGUUCAGUAAACUAUAAAUUACAUCUGAUCAAGACGCAAGUUGGAGUUGUAAGGUGGUAGUCGCUCAAUGCAAACCAGGGUAGAAAUGCCCUGAGCUAAGGGGAUUUUAUCACGUAACUCCAGACGGGGAAUUCAACAUGAUCUGCAAAGGAAUAACUGUUCUGUUGGAAUUAUGGACCAAAGUACUGCUUUUUCUGCAGUGUUUGAGGAUUACAGAACUGUGAUCUAAAAGUAAUGCAGACUGAAGGAACAUUACUGAACUCUAUUUUCCCUGUGAAGAACAACACCAGAAUGGAUUAACAAAGUUUAUACUGGUCCAAACAACCAAAUUGGAUACAUGCAGAUCUAAAUCUGGUCCGGACCCCCAUCCACUUCCCCCUGGGCCCCGGCGAGUGUCAAAGACUUGUCGGGUUUCAGGUGAGCCUUCGACUACAUCCAAGCCGGCUGCUCUCCCUCCAAAUGAUGAAAGAUGAGUCCAAGGAGCCCAUUGUGGAGGUGAGAACAGAGGAGGAGAACACCCCCAACCAGAAGGUCCCACCGAGCCCAACGAGACCACGCCGCUGACAGAACCUGAAUUCUGAUGGUGCUAUCUGCCUGGUGGAGCCUCUUCACACCACAACAGACCUUGUAACUGAUGAAGAGGAUGAAACUGUGUCUGCUGCCUUUACAGAGGGGGAUCCAGAAAGGCAUACAGAGCUAUGUUACUGAUAGUUCUCUUCUCAUUCACAUUCUGGGUGGAAUAUAGAGUGUGACAUUUAGCCUACACUGAAGUAUUGCACAUUCUCAUCCUUUUUAACAGAGCAUGGCUGGACAGCAGCAGGAUGGUUCCUCAGCUUCCACUGCACAGACUGACACAGUGAGAUGGAUGUUCAGGAAACACCAGAGCUUCAUUCUGUGGAAUUCAUGUGCAACUGUAUAAUUUAAUGUCCUCUAUGUAUUCCCAGUUAUCAGUAAAACAGAUUUACAAACUGCAUUUGCUGAGAAAAAUCCAAAAACAGAUUAGGAGGGCAGAUCUGGAAAUAGAAAUACUGGAGCACAAGUUAGAGGUGGUGAUGGUCACAGGAGAAUUAUGUUAACUACUGGAACAUGAACUGAACUAUCUGUUUUAUUUGUAGGAAAUAAAGAAGACCAAAUGAAA